GGAGGAAUAUUGGGCAAUGCCCGCAAGGGUGACCCAGCAACGCCGCGUGGAGGAUGAAUGCCGUAAGGUUGUAAACUCCUGUUAGAGGGGAAGAAUAUUUCCGAUUGCAUCGGAACUUGACUGUACCCUCAGAGAAAGCCCCGGCUAACUACGUGCCAGCAGCCGCGGUAAUACGUAGGGGGCAAGCGUUGUCCGGAUUUACUGGGUGUAAAGGGCGCGCAGGUGGGCUUGAUAGUUAGAGGUGAAAUCC
rnacentral:rRNA from 1 species